UUCUCAGCACCUUAAAUAGAUGGUAUAAUACAUCAUAUUUCAAUAAUGCUAACCGAUUGUCUUCUUGAUCAGAAUGUUGAACAAAAGCCCCGAAAUUGUCAUCAAUGCAUGAAAAAGGGCAGAAGACUUUUUGUGCGUUGUCCUAAAUGCCCGAACAUGUACUGUAUGCAGUGUAUUGAUAAAUGGUAUGGCACUUUACAUUUAAUCAAUCUAUGAUGCUGAAUGAUUAUGUGCUUGUUAACCGUGCUGUUUGUGACUUUUACACACAGGUACCCUGAUAUGAAAAUAGAAGAAAUUGCUGUAAGUUGUCCGUUUUGCCGGAAAAACUGCAAUUGCAAUGUUUGCUUGUGCUCAAGAGGAGUGAUUAAGGUUUGAUUUGUUCUGAUGUCUACCCUAGAUUAAUUUGUAUAAUGAAACAAACUUUCAUAUAUUAUGAUUGUAUCUGCACUGCUAACUUUUGAAUUUCUUUUUAUAUCUACUUUCAGACAUCUAACAGGGACAUAACCGAUUAUGAAAAGGCUCAGUAUCUGCAUUAUAUGAUUAACUUACUCCUACCGUUUUUGAAACAAAUUUGUCAAGAACAAAAUCAAGAGGAGCAGAUUGAAGCUAAAAUACUAGGUUUUAAUCUUCACCUUUUAAGUUUUGCGUUAUUGCAUUGAAAAGAUCACCAACAUUAAAUCUUGUCAGGAAAGAAUUCUUUUGAGAAGGAAAUACCUCCAAGUCUUUGUGGCAACGAUGAACGUAUCUAUUGGUAAGUGCCCUUCUUGUAAAGAUACUAGUCUGAUCUUUACAUGUUUUAUAAUAGCUGUUUUAUUUACUUUUUUUCAUACAACAGUGAUCACUGUGCUACUUCAAUUAUUGACCUUCAUAGAAGCUGCCCCAGUUGUUCCUAUGAACUCUGCCUUAGUUGUUGCCAAGAAAUAAGAGAUGGAAGCAUUACACCCCGGGUCGAGCAGAAGUUCUCAUAUGUGAAUAGGGGCUAUGAAUAUAUGCAUGGUGGAGACCCUCUACCUGUGUCUAAUGAUUUCGGAACAUCAGAAUGUCAUACCAAGCUAUCUAAUGUGUGGAAUGCUAAGAGUGAUGGAAGCAUCCGAUGUGCACCAAAGGAGUUCGGCGGUUGUGGUAGUGCUGCAUUGGAGCUCAGACGUGUCCUACCAAGUGGGUGGAUAUCUGAAUUGGAAAUCAGAACUCGCAGUAUGCUGAAAAUUUGGGAAAAUGUAAACACUACUCUUCAGCAAAAAAAAGCAGUAUCAAGAUACACCUCUUUGAGAAAGGAUGAUAAUAUGUCCUGUUCAGAGUCAAGUAACAUUCAAAAGGGAGGAUUGUUACUUUUCCAAAAGCAUUGGGCUAAUGGCGAACCAAUUAUAGUUCCUGAUGCCCUUAAACUGGGCACCGGUCUGAGCUGGAAGCCGAUGGUAAUGUGGCGAGCAUUAUGCGAAAAUAGGGUUUCAGAGGUCGGUUCAAAAAUGUCAGAAGUGAAAGCCAUUGAUUGCCUGGCUAAUUGUGAGGUUUGGCCUUGUCCAUUUUGAUCGAUACUUUGGUCAUAUUAUAGCAUGCAUGUCUAAAGUUGUCGUGUUUUUCUUUUACCAAAUCUCUCAUUGUGUGGAUUGGCUGCGAAUUUAUAAUUUUUUAAGAAUGCUUUUAUACCCCUAAGUAUUAUUAUCAUUAUAUAAGAUAACUAACUUUUAGUUCAAUAUGUAUAAGGCAUACCCUUUUAGCUUUAGAUUCCUCAUAUUGUGGAGAGCUUCAACUGCCAUCUUAGUAUUUCAUCUUCUAAAUUUCAAGUGUAAUAUUUUUAGCUUGUUUCUCGUGCAACAUACUAUAUUAUUAAGUAUUUACCCUUCUAAAUUUAUGCAGGUCGAAAUCGAUAAUCACACAUUUUUUAAAGGUUAUAUAGAGGGAAGAACAUACAGAAAUCUCUGGCCAGAGAUGCUCAAGCUAAAAGACUGGCCCCCAUCUGAUAAAUUUGAAGAUCUUUUGCCCCGCCAUUGUGAUGAGUUUAUUCGCUCCUUGCCAUUCCAAGAGUACAGCGAUCCUCGGAGCGGAAUUCUCAAUCUUGCUGCGAAGUUGCCAGCACAUGUCCUAAAACCUGACAUGGGUCCGAAAACAUAUAUUGCCUAUGGGAUUAAAGAAGAGCUUGGUAGAGGAGACUCUGUAACAAAGCUUCACUGUGAUAUGUCAGAUGCGGUAUGCAUCAAGUUUCGCUAGUCUGUAAUUUGGUUGCUUAAGCAGUAGUUGGCCAAUUUCAUUUGAAUUUUCUACGCUCACACACAUUUGCUCACAUCACAUUUUUGUUUGCAUAUUGGAUUGGAAACUAAGUUUGAAUAAUAAUUCUCAUUGUUUGUUUGUAGAGGAUGAGUUAAUAUUAUUUUCUUCCUACUAGUCUAAAGGGAUAUCUUCAUAUGGUUCGAAGUUAGUUUCUUAAUGUGUAACUAUAUUGUAAGGUGGUACAAUAUAAAAAUUUGGUACUUAGGAGUUAAAAGAAUUGGCGAUUGCCUUUCUUUUACUUUAUUUGAAUUAGAUGGUCUGGAUGUGAAAAAUAUAGUUCUUUAUUACAAAGAAUAAAUAAGUGUGCACGUGAUGUGCAUUUGAGUUGAGGUGUAUAUGUGCAUUUUGGUUUAGAAACUUUUAUGUCUCGUGUUUGAAAUGGAAGCAUAUUGGCUUCUUUCUUGGUCUAAUUUCUUUUUUGGUAAUUGUCAUAGGUCAAUAUUUUGACCCAUACAGCAGAGGUGAUAUUAACUGAUGAGCAGCACUUAAUUAUUUCAAAGUUGAAAGAAGCACACAAGGUACAAGGUGAGAGAGAGCAGUGUGCUCAAGAAAGGGUUUCCAACAGCCUGAAUGGCCGACCUUUCAAACACAACAGAGUAUGGAGAGAAAAUAAGGUAGUUUUAGAAUCCAAAGACAUAGAGAAGCGCCCUAUUGAAAUUAAUGGAAGGAUCUUUCCAAAUGAUGUACAUGAAGGGGUCACGUCUGCUACAGAGAAUGAAUCAAUGAAAACAGGCAGUGCUCUAUGGGAUAUCUUUCGGAGAGAAGAUUCUGAGAAGUUAGAAACAUAUCUUAGAAAGCACUCAAGAGAAUUUAGACAUACUUAUUGUUCUCCCGUUGAACAGGUAUUACAAUUGUAACACUUUACAUUUCUGAUGCUCAAACCUUAUUCUUUUAUCCCCGAUGCUCAAAUCAAGUUAUUUAUUAACUAGGUUGCACAUCCAAUUCAUGACCAAUGUUUUUAUUUGACAUCGGAGCACAAGAAGAAGCUGAAGGAGGAGUUCGGUUAGUACAAAGAAAUUGCAUACAAUUUUUGCUCAGUGCCUGUAAUUUGUUACUAACAGGAAUUUUGAUUUUUUAGAUGUAGAACCGUGGACUUGAGCAAAAACUUGGGGAGGCGGUAUUUAUUCCUGCUGGAUGCCCACAUCAAGUCAGGAAUCUCAAGGUAAAAUAUCUAGACACAUGUUCGACUAAUUUUCCUAAAUAACUUAGUUGUUUCUGUUGCUCUAAGCACCACAUGCCAAACCUUGCAGUCAUGCACAAAAGUUGCGGUAGACUUUGUGUCUCCAGAAAAUAUCCAUGAGUGUCUGCGUUUAACUAAUGAGUUCCGCCAGCUUCCCAAGAACCACAAGGCUAGAGAAGAUAAGCUUGAGGUAAUUUGCUUCUAAAUUAUAUUUCCUUCUCCUCUUUAUGAUGUAUGCAUCAAAAUUAAUAGCAGAUUUAUAUGGUCAUGUUGAACAGAUAAAGAAGAUGAUAGUUUAUGCCAUUGAUGAAGCUGUCACAGACCUAAAAGCUUUGCUGAACUUUUCUUGACUGGAUGAACGCUGCUUUCAAAAAGCUACUUAAUUUUGCCUUGGUCGCUGAUACUCUAGAUUGUGCAUAUUAAGUGUCUAGAUAGAAAUUGUGAGGUCGAAAUGUUUAUUGGAGGGUUAAAGUCUAGAUAGAAAAUUGUGAAGUUUUUUAUUGGAGAGCUAAAGCCACUCACAAUUGAGUGUUUCCCAUUUUGGUAAUAAUGUAGAAACUUUUUUUUGUCAGAGUUACAUUUUAGAAGACAAUUCUCAAAGUUUUGUAAACUGUUAAUGAUCAAAACAAUACAAAAUGAAAAUUAUUGUAUUCAUUGGCAAAGAAAAUUCAAGUAGACAGAUAAUAAGGCUGGUUUUGACCAACAUUUAAAUAAUAAGACUGUAAAUAAAUGACUAACAGAUGGUUCCCACAACAACAAUUUAAUGGCACUGCAAAGUGUGCAGAAUGGUAUGUAUUAUUGCUAUGGUUUGCAGGAUAAGUGUAUAGAAUUAUUACCAACUUGGGUUGGUCACAAAAAUAUCAAAUGCAAUUUACUCUUUUUAAGAGUCUAAAACCACUUCCUCAAUUAUGAAAAAAGUUAAGUUGCUUCAUUCAUUCUCAUAAAAUUAAUGUCAGUCUAACUAUCAUUUUAGAAAGGUAAUUUAAAAUAAGAUGUUUCACAUCAUGUUUUAAUGUGAUUAGAAUUCAUGAGGUUUGAAGAUCUUUUGUUACACUUUGUUUGAUUUGUCUGGUUGUUGUGUUUCAGUUGGAUGGUGUAUAAUUAUUUUAUACAUUUACAGUGAAAACGUUUUCUUUCCAAAGAUAAAGCUUUGAGUACUUUUUUUUGUAUCGGCGAAGAAUAAAUUAAAUUAAAUAAAUAUUUCACAAAUCAUAGCAACAAUCGUAGCAUCUAAUAGCAUUGCAAGCUUCCACCUAAUACAUAGCCAAAUUGGCUUGCUACCCCAACGUAUAAAAACUUUUUAAAUAAAUCUAUCUAAAUUCUCUAUAACACUAAACCCCUUUGGCACUCUUCUUAACAUAAUUCCUACCUCAAGAACUACAGUUGCGGUCCCUCCGUAAAAUGAGUGCUUUGCCUAACCGAGUGCAUUUUCCUACUUUUAAAUCUGAUCCUUGUUUCUGCUACUUCUUUUUAUUGCUCCUUCCAUCUUGCUUGUCGAGCCCAUCCCUCCGUAAAAUGAGUGCUUUACCCAACCCAUUACAUAUACAUUCAAAAGCCUGCAUUUCCACAACCACCACAGAACCCAGAUCUUCCUAUUACAGUGAAAACACUGGUUCUAUACCACACACAACCCCUCCCAAAUGAAUACUCCAUAGGACCCUACCAAACUUCUCUAACCUACCUUUCAUCUCUAUUCCUAGCAACUGCCCCUCACGCCUUCCCAUCUAAUAACAGCUUUUAAUGAACAAGACAGGAUUCAGAGGCCAAUCAGAAAAAGAAUGAUUAAAGGACUUCAUCCUAUACCUCAGCCAUAACCAUGUUUUAAGCUAUGCCAUAUGGAAUAUUUCCUCCGUAUCAACUCUGCCUAGCUUAAAGGCUAUUCUGUUCCUUUGAUCCCAGAUACUCCAUAUUAUAGCUGCCCACACAUCUUUCCACACAAGAUUAUGUUUAAAAUUUACAUGAACCAAGAGAAAAUUCUCAAAGUGGUCUCUAAGAGUCUUGUGCUGUACAUAAAGAAUUCCAAUGCAUCUAUAGCACCUGGUCCAGACCUGUUGUGAAUACUCACACUCCAAGAACAUAUGCUGAGAGGAUUCUGGCCACUUCUGACAAAGGGCACAAAUAGUUGUGUCGACCACAACACCUCUCCUUGAUAGGUUUACCCUUGUCGGUAUCCUAUCCAGAAGGACCCUCCAACCAGUGGUUAAGACAUUUGGAAACGCUCUAGACAUCCAAAGGUGUUUAAAAGUUACAGUCUCAUUACAGAUGUCACUCUUUGCAACACAAUCAUAUGCAGACUUGACUGAAAAAUCUUCACCCUUCCAUGUCAUACAAUCCUUCAUCUCCCUAUUCAAAUUAACACCGGACAGGGAUCUUAACAAUUCUUCCUGUAAAGUAGAUUCACAUUCGAAGCCAGGACGCCUCCACCUUAAUUUCCACACCCACACCGAGUCAACCCAGAUACCAACCUCUUCCACCUUUAACCCUUGGUCUAGUGACUGAGAAUAUAACCUAGGGUAUAUUGACUUUAAGUUGGUAUUAUUAGCCCAAGAGUCCUCCCAAAAUCUCACUUUGUCCCCGCUCCAAUCUUCCACCCAACUGCUUUAUUGAACCAUCCUGUCAUACCUUCCUCACCACACACCUUGAUAAGGUCUCUCCACCACCACGAUUGAUAUUUUAUAGGAGUAGGAGGCUGCCCUAACACACUUCCGUAUUUAGAAUUUAUUAUAUCUUUCCAUUUCCCUCUUUCAUCACCUUACAGCCACUAUUUCCACUUGGCGAGCAGCGCAUAGUUGAAACAACGUACAUCCUUAAUCCCUAGCCCUCCCUCCUCCCUAGCUCUGCACAGAUUUUCCUAGCUAACCCAUGAGAUUGCUCUCCUGUCCCUCCCCCAACCCCAAAGAAAUCUUCUUUGGAUGCUAAUAAAAUUUUUAUAAACCGAAUCAGGGGCUUUGAAGACGGAUAGAUAAAAGAGGGGAAUAGCUGUGAAUACUGAUCUUAUUUCAGAUACAGAUGUAGAUUUUAUUUCCUGAAAACAAACAACUUCUGCACCUUCAAGAGAAAUUAGUUUCCUCACAUAUCUCAACUUGGUAACCCUCCUAAUCCUCUAAUAUUUAAGCUUAUGAUAAUCAUAAUCAAACCGAUUUGUACCCUUCCUCACAUCUUUUCUUAUCCUCAGAGUCUCUCUCUUCCAACCGUUCCAUCUCGUUAAUUACUUCCACCUCAUCCCCUUCACAAGAUAUACCUAUUUGUUCACAAGAUAAAACGUAAUUUAAAUGGUUCCGCUAUAUUAACAGAAUCCCAGAACCGUUUAUUGCAGUUAACAAUGCAAUGCCACCAUCAGAGAUGGACCUACUAAGGGAGUUGAGAACCAACCUGGAAUUGCAGAUGUUGUCAUGUUGAAGGUCUCCUUUGGCUCCCCAAUCUCACACAGCCCUCGCUGCCUCCACCCAUGUGAUGGAGUAAAAAAAAUUGCCUCCACACUCCAAUUCGUCCUCCAGAGAACCGAGAUAACAGCACCGUUUCAGGGUCUCCGAUUACGCUUUCUCCAUGAUUGAUUACACUUGUUUGUGGGCCUUCGAACAAAGCUAUCUCAUUCUGUUUCACAACACCGUAAGAGCCAUAGCUGGAAGCUGAUACCGAGUUCCUCCGAUACUCCAAGUGCUUUGCCAAUCCCGCACUUGCACCCUCGUAGUCGCCCUCCAGAGACAAGCGCUUAUCUUCUAUUUUUCCAACCCUCAAAAUGGCGUUUUCGUUCUCCUCAACAGCAAUACCACCCUUAACAGAACAAGACUGGGCUGACUUAGAGCAUGAAUGGACCCAGCCCAAAAUGGGCUGAAUACUUUUUACACCCUCUACAGCUACUAACAGAUUG
rnacentral:lncRNA from 1 species